rnacentral:rRNA from 1 species
CAGUCGAGGGGCAGCAGGAUCUAGCAAUAGAUUGCUGGCGACCGGCGCACGGGUGAGUAACACGUAUCCAACCUGCCGAUAACUCGGGGAUAGCCUUUCGAAAGAAAGAUUAAUACCCGAUGGUAUAAUCAGACCGCAUGGUCUUGUUAUUAAAGAAUUUCGGUUAUCGAUGGGGAUGCGUUCCAUUAGGCAGUUGGUGAGGUAACGGCUCACCAAACCUUCGAUGGAUAGGGGUUCUGAGAGGAAGGUCCCCCACAUUGGAACUGAGACACGGUCCAAACUCCUACGGGAGGCAGCAGUGAGGAAUAUUGGUCAAUGGGCGCAGGCCUGAACCAGCCAAGUAGCGUGAAGGAUGACUGCCCUAUGGGUUGUAAACUUCUUUUAUAUGGGAAUAAAGUUUUCCACGUGUGGAAUUUUGUAUGUACCAUAUGAAUAAGGAUCGGCUAACUCCGUGCCAGCAGCCGCGGUAAUACGGAGGAUCCGAGCGUUAUCCGGAUUUAUUGGGUUUAAAGGGAGCGUAGGUGGACAGUUAAGUCAGUUGUGAAAGUUUGCGGCUCAACCGUAAAAUUGCAGUUGAUACUGGCCGUCUUGAGUACAGUAGAGGUGGGCGGAAUUCGUGGUGUAGCGGUGAAAUGCUUAGAUAUCACGAAGAACUCCGAUUGCGAAGGCAGCUCACUGGACUGCAACUGACACUGAUGCUCGAAAGUGUGGGUAUCAAACAGGAUUAGAUACCCUGGUAGUCCACACAGUAAACGAUGAAUACUCGCUGUUUGCGAUAUACAGUAAGCGGCCAAGCGAAAGCAU